UACGGAGGGGGCAAGCGUUGUUCGGAAUUACUGGGCGUAAAGGGCGCGUAGGCGGCCACCGCAAGUCGACUGUGAAAUCUCCGGGCUUAACCCGGAAAGGUCAGCCGAUACUGCGGGGCUAGAGUGCAGAAGGGGCAACUGGAAUUCUCGGUGUAGCGGUGAAAUGCGUAGAUAUCGAGAGGAACACCUGCGGCGAAGGCGGGUUGCUGGGCUGACACUGACGCUGAGGCGCGAAAGCUAGGGGAGCGAACGGG
rnacentral:rRNA from 1 species